rnacentral:rRNA from 1 species
CACGUGGGAACGUGCCUUUAGGUUCGGAAUAGCUCCUGGAAACGGGUGGUAAUGCCGAAUGUGCCCUUCGGGGGAAAGAUUUAUCGCCUUUAGAGCGGCCCGCGUCUGAUUAGCUAGUUGGUGAGGUAAUGGCUCACCAAGGCGACGAUCAGUAGCUGGUCUGAGAGGAUGACCAGCCACAUUGGGACUGAGACACGGCCCAAACUCCUACGGGAGGCAGCAGUGGGGAAUCUUGCGCAAUGGGCGAAAGCCUGACGCAGCCAUGCCGCGUGAAUGAUGAAGGUCUUAGGAUUGUAAAAUUCUUUCACCGGGGACGAUAAUGACGGUACCCGGAGAAGAAGCCCCGGCUAACUUCGUG